rnacentral:rRNA from 1 species
ACCUACGGGACGCAGCAGUGAGGAAUAUUGGUCAAUGGGCGCGAGCCUGAACCAGCCAAGUCGCGUGAGGGAAGACGGUCCUAUGGAUUGUAAACCUCUUUUGUCGGGGAGCAAAAGACGCCACGCGUGGCGUUCCGAGAGUACCCGAAGAAAAAGCAUCGGCUAACUCCGUGCCAGCAGCCGCGGUAAUACGGAGGAUGCGAGCGUUAUCCGGAUUUAUUGGGUUUAAAGGGUGCGCAGGCGGAAGAUCAAGUCAGCGGUAAAAUUGAGAGGCUCAACCUCUUCGAUCCGUUGAAACUGGUUUU